AACGAACGCUGGCGGCAUGCCUAACACAUGCAAGUCGAACGAAACCUUCCGGCCGAGUGGCGCACGGGUGCGUAACGCGUUGGAACCUGCCCUUAGGGUCGGAAUAACUCCCCGAAAGGGGUGCUAAUACCGGAUAAUGUCUUCGGACCAAAGCUUUAUCGCCUUUGGAUGGGCCCGCGUUGGAUUAGCUAGUUGGUAGGGUAAAAGCCUACCAAGGCGACGAUCCAUAGCUGGACGGAGAGGAUGAUCAGCCACACUGGGACUGAGACACGGCCCCGAAUCCUACGGGAGGGAGCAGAGGGGAAUAUUGGAGAAUGGGGGAAAGCGUGAUCCAGCCAUGCCGCGUGAGUGAUGAAGGCCUUAGGGUUGUAAAGCUCUUUUAGCCGGGAUGAUAAUGACGGUACCGGGAGAAUAAGCACCGGCUAACUACGUG
rnacentral:rRNA from 1 species